rnacentral:rRNA from 1 species
AUUGAACGCUAGCGGGAUGCCUUACACAUGCAAGUCGAACGGAGUGGCAACCGGGUAAGUAAUGUAUAGGAACGUGCCCAGUCGCGGGGGAUAACUACGCGAACGCGUAGCUAAUACCACAUCCUAUUGCAACCGGCGAUAUCGGAUUAGCUAGUUGGGGGGGUAACGGCUCACCCAGGCGACGAUCCGUAGCUGGUUUGAGAGGACGACCAGCCACACUGGGACUGAGACACGGCCCAGACUCCUACGGGAGGCAGCAGUGGGGAAUUUUGGACAAUGGGGGAAACCCUGAUGCAGCCAUGCCGCGUGUGUGAUGAAGGCCUUCGGGUUGUAAAGCACUUUUGGCAGGGAAGCGGUACCUGCAGAAGAAGCACCGGCUAACUACGUGCCAGCAGCCGCGGUAAUUC